rnacentral:rRNA from 1 species
AUUGAACGCUGGCGGCAUGCCUUACACAUGCAAGUCGAACGUGAAAGCGGGGCAACCCGCAAGUAGAGUGGCGGACGGGUGAGUAAUACAUCGGAACGUGUCCAGUAAUGGGGGAUAACCUAGCGAAAGUUAGGCUAAUACCGCAUACGAUCUGCGGAUGAAAGCGGGGGAUGCGGCACUAAAGGCUUUUGGCGAAGGUGGCCAAAGGUGAGUCAAGAGCUUUUAGUGCNGCACCUCGCGUUAUUGGAGCGGCUGAUGUCUGAUUAGCUAGUUGGUGAGGUAAAGGCUUACCAAGGCGACGAUCAGUAGCUGGUCUGAGAGGACGGCCAGCCACACUGGGACUGAGACACGGCCCAGACUCCUACGGGAGGCAGCAGUGGGG